rnacentral:rRNA from 1 species
GAUAAACGCUGGCGGCGUGCUUAACACAUGCAAGUCGAACGAAGUUUUUCCUUCGGGAGAAACUUAGUGGCGGACGGGUGAGUAACGCGUGGGUAACCUGCCCUGUCCAGGGGGACAACAGCUGGAAACGGCUGCUAAUACCGCAUAAGCCCUUAGCACUGCAUGGUGCAUAGGGAAAAGGAGCAAUCCGGUACAGGAUGGAACCGCGUCUGAUUAGCCAGUUGGCAGGGUAACGGCCUACCAAAGCGACGAUCAGUAGCCGAUCUGAGAGGAUGUACGGACACAUUGGGACUGAGACACGGCACAGACUCCUACGGGAGGCAGCAGUGGGGAAUAUUGCAAAAUGGAGGAAACUCUGAUGCAGCGACGACGCGUGAGUGAAGAAGUAUUUCGGUAUGUAAAGCUAUAUCAGCAGGGAAGAAAAUGACGGUACCUGACUAAGAAGCACCGGCUAAAUACGUG